rnacentral:tRNA from 1 species
GAGGAUGGCUCAGUGGUUAAGAGCACUAAUCGCUCUUCCAGAGGUCCUGAGUUCAAUUCCCAGCAACCUCA